GAAGACCAUGACAUUUUCAUACAGACAGCACCCAGAGUGACCCGUGUCCCUGGUAGUGGCUAGUUCAAGGUGCAGACAACACAAAAGUAACAUUUUUCCUUUACCAUGUACCAAGUAGAAGCCUAGCUAAUAUGAUUAAAACACAGUAAUGAAAGCACAGGAAGAGCAAUUUCGUAGCAUAAUUUAAAUCUUAUUCUCAGCAUAAAAGAGAAGGCUGGUGAAAUGCUUUCUAGUGCCGUCUUUCUGUAAUGAAGAUGUUAGAAGAGCUACCUGUGCCUGUGUAAUCAUUACAGGAAAUAGUAGCUUUUACACUAUGGUGGAUUCCAGGCCAUUCAAGCGUCCCCAUCUAUAUCUUUAUUCUAUCCCAUUACAAGAAGAACAAGUAGAUUUGCCUACACAUAUACACACACACACAUUCUAUGAGCAUUCCUACGUAGCUACAGUUUCCUUCGAACCCAGAGGUACCUGAUUCCAAACACACUUUGUUAGAUGACCAACCCUUCCGGACUGCCAUGAGGAGGUGGCCCUGGGACGAUGCCUCCCAAUCUUUGGUAACUGAUGGAGGGAGGCUCAGCCCCAUGCAGUAGCUUGCACACUGAGAACAAGCCCCCACUGGACCCAUUAGACACCAGGAGACCCCUGCACAGGACACGCAGGAACUCCUGCCUGUCCUUCCACCAGCCCUUUCUCCAAAAUGCCCCUGCACGGCGACCAGCAGCUGAUCCCAUCAAAUGCUACAGUAUUUUCUCUACAGUUCUAUCAAGUCCUAAUAAUCCAGGUACUGGUAUUAACUUCAUAAUUCAGGUUCCUGACACUAAAAGCUAGACUUAGAAAUAAAUAACUGCCCCAAUUCACUUUAAACAUAACAAUAAUAGCUAAUCUUUAUUGAGCACUUACUAUGUGCCAGGCACUGUUCUGCACUCUUUGUGCUUAUUAGUUUAUGUGACACAAGAAAGCCAGUUUACAGAUGAGGGAGGACACAUUCUCAAGUGAGGCAAGGUGAUGGACCUCAACCAAAGCUGGGGAGAUGUGCAAUGAAUGAGCCACAGUCUCUCCCUUCAAUGAUCUUACCACCUUGUAUGGAAAUGAGGGGAGGGAACUAACAUAGCUCAAAGUAAGUAAAAAACUACAAGAUACACCUUUAGGGGAGUCCAGAGGAAGAAGGAUUUGUUCAUCUGGGCAGGAUGCCUGAGGGCUUCUUGGAGGAGGUGUGCAAGCGCACAAUGAGGACAUAAAUGGAAGGAGCUUUCCAUAACCGUCAGUCCCUCGGCUCCCAAAGCUACCAAAAGACCCAGCCCUUCUCCCCGUCCCCCUCCUCCGUUUCAUCUGGAACGGGCCUGUUUCCAAAAGAGGACUAGCUCAGCCCAACCCUUCUUUCCUCUGACACAUUCCUCCAGCUGCUGCUUGCCCUUCCAAGCCCGCGCAGGCACAUAUGGGAACUUUUCACCAGGGCUCAACCUGGUGCUUUCACGGGGAAGAACCUGCGUCAUGGUGCACGGUCAUACAAGGGCUCCCUUUAAGGGAGUCCAGUCCUUCUCUAUUGGACUGUAUCACGGACAGCCCCAUGCCUGCACCAAACUAAGAAGUAAGGGACUCCCCGCCCCCACCAGCAGCCAUCAUAAAGGUCAUCACUCCUCUCCAGGCUUCUGAGAGAUGAAUUUGCUUCCACUCCCUCCUCUCCAGGGUGCUCCUCGGGGCUCCCAUGGUCAUUUCCCCACCUCUUCCUCCUCAGUGCUUAAGGCUCUGCAACAAGGGCUCAAACCCUCACUCUUGGCAUCUGUGUGACCUUGGACAAGUAACUGAACCAACAUCAGUCCCAGUUUCCUUAUCUGUAACAUAGGGUUUAUAAGAACAACUCGGUCUCAGAACUGUUGUCAAUCAGAACAAGAUAGUGCAAGGAAAGCAUUUUACAUAGAGCCUGGCACGUAGUAAGCUAACAAGAAAGAGCAGCUAUCAUCAUCACAGGGAUGAUGAUGGUCUUAGUGAUGGUGAUGGUGGUGAUGUUGGUGGCAGUAUAAACUUGGGCUUCAGUAGCACUGAAAUACCCUCUCCAUUCUCUCCCCCCACCGCCACCCACGAGCCUGGGACCGGGCCACACGGUCGAGACACAUGCGUCAUCCUGCUGUGGGGUGAAUGCAGGAUAUUCAGACGGCGGGCUUUGGAACUGCCAGGCGGUGAUGCCCGGACCCACCUGGGCAGUCGCGGGUGACGCUAAGUUUCUGAUGGAGGAGGCCCAACAACCAAAGACCCUCACCUCCUUCGUACCCAUUCUCCAGGUCUGGAAACAGACAAGUGGCCAAAGAACGCAGCAACUGCGCCUGCUGCAACACUCGCCCAGGGAGUCAGGAGAGCGUCUACGUUGCCCCUGCCAACUCUCCUCCAGGUGCAGGCAAGCUGUGCUGCACUUGGUGGCGGAGAUAACAGGUUGGCAAACCAGGCCUGGGAAAAAUCUCCACGCUUCCCCGCGCAAACCCAAGCCCCUCUUCCCAAUGCAGGCACUGAUGGUACAGCACUAAAAGACACGCUAUUUUAUUUGCUGGAAGAGGCUUACCUCCUACUUGAAUACUCAUUGGAUACUGAGACAAGAAAACAUACCAGUUCAAUAGUGUUGGGUGCUGGGGAUCCAGCAGUGACAAGGAAGACAGUCAAGAACUUUGCCCUCCUGGAACCCUCAUUCUAUGAGACAAACAAUUGUACAUUACAGCAAACAUGAACACGAGCAGGAUACCAGUUCAGACAGUGGUUGGGGAAUAUCGGUGAAAGGCCAGGGAACUUGCAAGCAGCCAUCCUCUCAUUCCAAGAUAGAGAAUUAAAAUGUGCCUGGAGGAGGUUGGGACCCAACCCAGAGCACUGGCUCCCUGGGCCUGAAGGAAGCCAUGCCAUGGAGGACUGCAGCUUAUUCUUAUUGUUCUAGAUGGGUUCUAAGAGUCCACAGCUUUUCAGAGUAAAGCAAGAUAAACACAUAAGUGACACCUAGAGGACAGAAAGUUAAAAACCAUCCAGAUCACUCACUCUGGGGAAAACCAGCUGAGGACACUCAAGCAAUCCUCUGGAGAAGUCUCCGUGGUGAGGAACUGAGGCCAACUGCCAACAGCUAGCACUAAUUUGGCAGGUAUGGAAAUAGGCCAUUUUGGAGGUGGAUCCUCCAGUCCCAACAACUCUUCAGAUAUAGCCCUAGCCGAUGCCUUGACUGCAACCUCAUCAGAGAGACCCAGAGCCUGAACUGAGACAGGCUUGUUGCCGAAAUUAGCCUCUGUACACCGGUGCCGAUUUAAAUCUGGGAGACAGAGUUUUGUGUGAAGUAGAAAGAAAUCGCUUUAUUGCUUUGCCAGGCAAAGGGGACCACAACAGGCUAAUGCCCUCAAGACUGUAUGUCCCACCCUAGACGGGGGUAGUGAGGAGUCUUUAACAGUGUUCAGGGAGCAGGGCGUGAUCAGCUCGUGGACAUUCUUCUGAUUGGUUGGUGGUGAGGAAAUUGGGAGUCAGCAUCAUCAACCUUCUGGUUCCAGCCCGUCUGGGGUCUACGUGCUUGUGGGCAGCAUACGGUUAAUUUCUUCCACCUGGUGGCGGUUUCAGUAUCUGCAGAACAGCUCAAAGGACAUGGCUCCGAAUAUUAUCUAUAGACCUUGGGGAAGAACUAAAGGUCCUUGACUUUGUUUAAUGGCCAAAGUAUUAUUAUUUUGUCUUGCUUGACUGUGUUCCUUUCUUUCUGCAUUUUGUCACUUCUCUGAUUAAAUUUAUUCUUUGACUAAAGUUUUUCUACAGACAAAAGUCAGGCGGAGGACAUGGGUGGGGUCUAUUCCAGGAAGGCCUCGUAGUGUCCUGCUAGGUUACAGGCUGGGACCUGGGACCUGGGACCCUUUGCAGCAAUGCUUGCACCUGGACAAACAUCUCGUCAAGCAACAAAUACAAAGAAACUCCAAGGGGCUAAAAAUAACUGCGUGCAUGCGCAUUUGGGGCAAAUUAUGAACAAGAUACAAAAAGCCCCAAAACCUAACUUCCACAUCUGAGGAGUCGGGAGCAAAAGCAUGGUAGCGCACAUGAUCCUUGCACACAGCACCACCAAGAGGAUGGGCACCCCACCCAAGCCACCCCUGCAGCCUGACCCCCGGACCUGCCCCUACCCUCGCCCCAUGUAAGGGACCAGCUUGCCCUCCCCUCAGGGAGCAAGCAGGGCCACCUGUUACUUGUUUUCGCGCCGUCCUGCUACAGUACGAGUCCCAAUAAAGCCUUG